GAUCACCUCCUUUCUAAGGAUGAUCAAGAAUGGAGUUUUCUCCUUUUUGAUCAAAUUAGACAUCAGUUUUAUUCGCAUUUAAACUUGUCUUGAGUAUAAAUGCUUUGGAUAAAACCUUUUAMAUCAGCCUAUARUCAUUAUAGGUUAAGCAGACUUGCCGCCUUCGUUUCUCUUUCUUCCGAUGAUGAUCCCAAGCCUUCAGGCGUUCUGUUUAUUAAAUUCCAAAAGCAAUAAAAACAUUUAGGAGCGUUUAAAAAAACAAACCAAAAGCGUUUAAGAAACAUAUAUGUUUGUUAAACAUAUCUUUUAUCUGUCCCGAGGAAGGUUUUUACCAAUUCACUCCUGAGGGCUUGUAGCUCAGUUGGUUAGAGCGCGCGCUUGAUAAGCGUGAGGUCGGAGGUUCAAGUCCUCCCAGGCCCACCAAUUUAUGAUCGCUGAUAAAGUUUUUUGCGAACGUUUUGAUAGUCUUUUGUGUUGCAAUCUUUCACUUUUAUGUUGCACUUUUAAAAGCUAUUUGAACUGUUUUAGGGGCCGUAGCUCAGCUGGGAGAGCACCUGCUUUGCAAGCAGGGGGUCGGCGGUUCGAUCCCGUCCGGCUCCACCAUCUUUGGUUAUCAUCAUCGUUGGAGAACAAUGUUUGCAAUAGAUUUAUAGAUCUUAAGUCUAUCAUCUAUUGCCUGUUUAUUGAAGAUUUGAACCAAAGAUGGUGGAGCCGGACGGGAUCGAACCGUACGUACCCCCUGUCUUGACAAUAUGCACGUGCUCUCCCAGCUGUUGCUACAGCCCCUUAAAACAAUUCACAAAUCUCUUAAAAGUUCAACAUAAAAGUGCCGCCAUUCGCAGGACCAAGCACCAGCAAAAUGCUUCCAACCAUAAGCCUUCAUCGUUCCAUUGCCAAUAUUCAUUUACUGUUUAUUGUGUAGUUUAUUUUAUGCCACUUAUUCACUUUCACUUUGCACUACGGGUAUACCCCGUGUCCAUUUUGUACUCAUGCCCAUUUAUAUAUACUCAUAUAUAUAUGCUCACUUCGUACCACUGUGUUUAUUUGUGACACUGUUUUUGUAACACUCUUUA
rnacentral:tRNA from 1 species